AUUGAACGCUGGCGGCAUGAUUUACACAUGCAAGUCGAACGGUAACAGGCCGCAAGGUGCUGACGAGUGGCGAACGGGUGCGUAAUGCAUCGGAACGUGCCCAGUCGUGGGGGAUAACUACUCGAAAGAGUAGCUAAUACCGCAUACGAUCUAUGGAUGAAAGCGGGGGACCGUAAGGCCUCGCGCGAUUGGAGCGGCCGCUGUCAGAUUAGGUAGUUGGUGGGGUAAAGGCUCACCAAGCCAACGAUCUGUAGCUGGUCUGAGAGGACGACCAGCCACACUGGGACUGAGACACGGCCCAGACUCCUACGGGAGGCAGCAGUGGGGAAUUUUGGACAAUGGGCGCAAGCCUGAUCCAGCAAUGCCGCGUGCAGGAAGAAGGCCUUCGGGUUGUAAACUGCUUUUGUACGGAACGAAACGGCUCUGGUUAAUACCCGGGGCUAAUGACGGUACCGUAAGAAUAAGCACCGGCUAACUACGUG
rnacentral:rRNA from 1 species